CUUGGUCAUUUAGAGGAAGUAAAAGUCGUAACAAGGUCUCCGUAGGUGAACCUGCGGAGGGAUCAUUACACAAAUAUGAAGGCGGGCUGGAACCUCUCGGGGUUACAGCCUUGCUGAAUUAUUCACCCUUGUCUUUUGCGUACUUCUUGUUUCCUUGGUGGGUUCGCCCACCACUAGGACAAACAUAAACCUUUUGUAAUUGCAAUCAGCGUCAGUAACAAAUUAAUAAUUACAACUUUCAACAACGGAUCUCUUGGUUCUGGCAUCGAUGAAGAACGCAGCGAAAUGCGAUAAGUAGUGUGAAUUGCAGAAUUCAGUGAAUCAUCGAAUCUUUGAACGCACAUUGCGCCCUUUGGUAUUCCAAAGGGCAUGCCUGUUCGAGCGUCAUUUGUACCCUCAAGCUUUGCUUGGUGUUGGGCGUCUUGUCUCUAGCUUUGCUGGAGACUCGCCUUAAAGUAAUUGGCAGCCGGCCUACUGGUUUCGGAGCGCAGCACAAGUCGCACUCUCUAUCAGCAAAGGUCUAGCAUCCAUUAAGCCUUUUUUCAACUUUUGACCUCGGAUCAGGUAGGGAUACCCGCUGAACUUAAGCAUAUCAAUAAGCGGAGGA
rnacentral:rRNA from 1 species